AGAAUCAACGCUGGCGGCGUGCCUAACACAUGCAAGUCGAACGAGAAAGUGGAGCAAUCCAUGAGUAAAGUGGCGACCGGGUGAGUAACACGUGACUAACCUACCUUCGAGUGGGGGAUAACCUCGGGAAACCGAGGCUAAUACCGCAUAACAUCGCAAGAUCAAAGCAGUAAUGCGCUUGGGGAGGAGGUCGCGGCCGAUUAGCUAGUUGGCGGGGUAAUGGCCCACCAAGGCGAUGAUCGGUA
rnacentral:rRNA from 1 species